GAUGAACGCUGGCGGCGUGCCUAAUACAUGCAAGUCGAGCGAACGGACGAGAAGCUUGCUUCUCUGAUGUUAGCGGCGGACGGGUGAGUAACACGUGGAUAACCUACCUAUAAGACUGGGAUAACUUCGGGAAACCGUAGCUAAUACCGGAUAAUAUUUUGAACCGCAUGGUUCAAAAGUGAAAGACGGUCUUGCUGUCACUUAUAGAUGGAUCCGCGCUGCAUUAGCUAGUUGGUAAGGUAACGGCUUACCAAGGCAACGAUGCAUAGCCGACCUGAGAGGGUGAUCGGCCACCCUGGAACUGGGACACGGUCCAGACUCCUACGGGAGGCAGCAGUAGGGAAUCUUCCGCAAUGGGCGAAAGCCUGACGGAGCAGCGCCGCGUGAGUGAUGAAGGUCUUCGGAUCGUAAAACUCUGUUAUUAGGGAAGAACAUAUGUGUAAGUAACUGUGCACAUCUUGACGGUACCUAAUCAGAAAGCCACGGCUAACUACGUG
rnacentral:rRNA from 1 species